rnacentral:lncRNA from 1 species
UUUUGAUCAUAAAUCAUUAAUUAGAAAAAUACAGAGGUGUAUAAAAUCUAAAGUCAUUAUAUUCUACAUAGAAUUUGGAAGACGCAAAUAUUUUGAUACAAAACAAAAGUUUCAAAACAUCAUAUAUAACAAAACAGAGAGAGUAUAUGAUUUUGAAUGGUAUAAAUAUGUAAUCAAUAUAAUUAUAAAUACUUUUCUGAAA